CAUCGCUCUCUGUCCCCAAUAAAUAGGGAGUCGAACCUGCCCAGUGAAAUUUUUCAACGGCCGCGGUACUCUGACCGUGCAAAGGUAGCAUAAUCAUUUGCCUUAUAAUUGAAGGCUAGUAUGAAUGGUCUGACGAGAGCAACUCUGUCUCCACUUUAUUCUUUAGAAUUUGACUUUUAGGUGAAGAGGCCUAAAUUUUAUUGAAGGACAAGAAGACCCUGUCGAGCUUAAAAAACGAGCGGGAACACCUAUACUCUAUGUAAAUACAUAACCGUUAAAUUUUUUUGGUUGGGGCGACCAAGGAACAAAAGAAGCUUCCUCUAUAUACUAAUUCAAACAUAUUUGUCCUGAUCCAGUGUAAAACUGAUUAAAAGAACUAGUUACCGCAGGGAUAACAGCAUAAUCUCCUUUGAGAGACCAAAUCGAAAAGGGGGGUUGUGACCUCGAUGUUGGACUAGAAUAUCCUAAAGAUGCAGAAGUCUUUAAAGGUUGGUCUGUUCGACCAUUAAAAUUCUAC
rnacentral:rRNA from 1 species